AGAGUUUGAUCCUGGCUCAGGAUGAACGCUGGCGGCGUGUCUAAGGCAUGCAAGUCGAAUGCUUAGUUUACUAGGCAUGGCAAACGGGAGAGUAACACAUUGGGAAUCUACCUUGUAGACGAGAAUAACCUUGCGAAAGCGAGAAUAAUACUCGAUGGCAUUAAGGGACAUAAGUUCUUUAAUUAAAGUUCCGGCGCUACAAGAGGACCCUAUGGCUUAUCAGCUAGUUGGUGAGGUAAUGGCCCACCAAGGCUAUGACGAGUACCGGGUGUGAGAGCACGACCCGGCCCACUGGGACUGAGACACUGCCCAGACUCCUACGGGAGGCUGCAGUCAAGAAUAUUCCUCAAUGGACGAAAGUCUGAAGGAGCGACGCCGCGUGUAUGAAGAAGCCCUUCGGGGUGUAAAGUACUUUUAUCAGGGACGAACAAAUGACGGUACCUGAUGAAUAAGGGGCUGCUAACCUCGUGCCAGCAGCAGCGGUAAUACGAGGGCCCCAAGCAUUAUCCGGAUUUAUUGGGCGUAAAGCGUCCGCAGACGGUUUGUCGCAUCUCCUGUUAAAUCACAAGGCUCAACCUUGUGGCCGCGGGAGAGAUGGAUAAGCUAGAGACUGGAAGAGGUAAGCAGAAUUGCUGGUGUAGGGGUUAAAUCCGUUAAUAUCAGCAAGAAUACUAAAUGCGAAGGCAGCUUACUAGGACAGUUCUGACGUUCAAGGACGAAAGCGUGGGGAGCGAAUGGGAUUAGAUACCCCAGUAGUCCACGCCGUAAACGCUGAGUGCUAAGCAUUGGCAGUAUCGACCCUGCCAGUGUUGUCAUAUUAAGGUAACCCGUUAAGCACUCCGCCUGGGGAGUACGAGCGCAAGCUUAAAACUCAAAGGAAUAGACGGGGACCCGCACAAGCGGUGGAGCAUGUGGUUUAA
rnacentral:rRNA from 1 species